CCAAUAGCGUAUAUUAAAGUUGUUGCAGUUAAAAAGCUCGUAGUUGAACUUCGGGAUUUGCUCAUUGGUCAGGCUUCACUGUCUGUACUGGUGUAACGAAUUCCUACCUUCUGAUGAAUCUUCAUGCCAUUAAUUUGGUGCGUAGGGGAAUCAGGACUGUUACUUUGAAAAAAUUAGAGUGUUUAAAGCAGGCUAUUGCUCGAAUACAUUAGCAUGGAGUAAUAGAAUAGGACGGUUGGUUCUAUUUUGUUGGUUUCUAGGAUCACCGUAAUGAUUAAUAGGGAUAGUUGGGGGCAUUAGUAUUCAAUUGUCAGAGGUGAAAUUCUUGGAUUUAUUGAAGACUAACUACUGCGAAAGCAUUUGCCAAGGAUGUUUUCAUUAAUCAAGAACGAAAGUUAGGGGAUCGAAGACGAUCAGAUACCGUCGUAGUCUUAACCAUAAACUAUGCCGACUAGGGAUCGGACGAAGUUAAUUUUUAAAUGACUCGUUCGGCACCUUACG
rnacentral:rRNA from 1 species